rnacentral:rRNA from 1 species
GACGAACGCUGGCGGCGUGCUUAACACAUGCAAGUCGAACGGAAAGGCCCUGCUUUUGUGGGGUGCUCGAGUGGCGAACGGGUGAGUAACACGUGAGUCACCUGCCCUUGACUUUGGGAUAACUUCAGGAAACUGGGGCUAAUACCGGAUAGGAGCUCCUGCUGCAUGGUGGGGGUUGGAAAGUUUCGGCGGUUGGGGCUGGACUCGCGGCUUAUCAGCUUGUUGGUGGGGUAGUGGCUUACCAAGGCUUUGACGGGUAGCCGGCCUGAGAGGGUGACCGGCCACAUUGGGACUGAGAUACGGCCCAGACUCCUACGGGAGGCAGCAGUGGGGAAUAUUGCACAAUGGGCGGAAGCCUGAUGCAGCAACGCCGCGUGCGGGAUGACGGCCUUCGGGUUGUAAACCGCUUUCGCCUGUGACGAAGCGUGAGUGACGGUAAUGGGUAAAGAAGCACCGGCUAACUACGUG